AAAAGCUCCGCUCGCCUCAACCACCGUUUCUACCCCAGAGUCUUUCAGAUGGCCUACUGUUGGGAAAUAUAAAGUUGACUUAGCAUCAUUUGAGUCAUUGGCAUUACCUGAGUUGCAGGUCAAAGAAGAUGCUGAUCUCUUCAUCAUUGAUGAAGUUGGAAAAAUGGAGUUGUAUAGUUCAUCAUUCUUCCCUGCUGUUCUAAAAGUUCUAGAGUCAAAUGUCCCAGUUUUGGCUUCUAUCCCGAUUCCAAAAUUUGGGCGUGAUAUACCUGGAGUUGCAAGGUUGAGGAACCAUCCAGGGGCUACCAUUUUCACCUUAAGCCCAAAUAACAGGGAUGCUGUUAAAGAACUGAUCUAUAAGCAGUUGGUAGAUUCACUGCAGAAGCAUUAGAUGCUGCAUCCAUUGUGAAACUUGAAAGUCUAGUUGGAAGGGCUUGUGGAACAAAUAUCUUCAAGGUGUUCUUCUGAUGGGAUAACUUUUCUUGUUUACUUUGAUCUUGUCAUCUCAUGUUGUUACAACCUUGCUGAAGUGGAUGAAGAGUUCAAAUUAUAUUAUUUUUCAAGUGUUUUGGCAUAACUAUUCACAAAAAGAGACCAUAAAUCUCUCCCUCUGUCUCUCUUUCUAUGUAUACAUGCUUGCUAUAAUGUAGUUUCACUGGGUAAUUCUGGCUUGAGUGAGUGAUUCCUUCAACUGAACAUUCAAUGAAUGAGGAUGGAAGCAGGAUGAUAUAUGGC
rnacentral:misc_RNA from 1 species